GAUGAACGCUAGCGGCAGGCUUAACACAUGCAAGUCGAGGGGUAGAGGAAGCUUGCUUCCUUGAGACCGGCGCACGGGUGCGUAACGCGUAUACAAUCUACCUUUUACAGAGGGAUAGCCCAGAGAAAUUUGGAUUAAUACCUCAUAGUAUUUUCGGAUCGCAUGAUUUGAUUAUUAAAGUUCCAACGGUAAAGAUGAGUAUGCGUCCCAUUAGCUAGAUGGUAAGGUAACGGCUUACCAUGGCAAUGAUGGGUAGGGGUCCUGAGAGGGAGAUCCCCCACACUGGUACUGAGACACGGACCAGACUCCUACGGGAGGCAGCAGUGAGGAAUAUUGGACAAUGGGCGCAAGCCUGAUCCAGCCAUGCCGCGUGCAGGAAUAAGGUCCUAUGGAUUGUAAACUAGCUUUAUACAGGAAGAACACACCUCGUGAGGGUACUUGACGGUACUGUAUGAAUAAGCAUCGGCUAACUCCGUGCCAG
rnacentral:rRNA from 1 species